UCGAGAAUCUUCGGCAAUGGGCGCAAGCCUGACCGAGCGACGCUACGUGCGGGAUGAAGGCCCUUGGGUUGUAAACCGCUGUCAGAGGGGAUGAAAGCGAAAGCUUGACAGAGCCUCAGAGGAAGCGCGGGCUAAGUUCGUGCCAGCAGCCGCGGUAAUACGAACUGCGCGAACGUUAUUCGGAAUCACUGGGCUUACAGGGUGCGUAGGCGGUCCGCCAGGUCCGAUGUGAAAUCCCCCAGCUCAACUG
rnacentral:rRNA from 1 species